AGAAGAUAUAGGAGAGAAUCACAUGGAGAUCAAAAUACCUUUACUAUGGCUAAAGCUGAUUGAAAAUCUUGGCAUAGAUAUGGAAUAAAUAUUAAUGUCUCCAAAAUCUUCUCAAAAUUUAUACUAUGGCACAAACAAGUUAAAUGUAGGUCUCUUCCUCACCAUCUAUCUUAGGUCUCUUUCUCAUAUUUUCCUCCAAUCUCUACUGCUGGGAAGGCGAGGGACAUGGAGGGGAGAGAUCACCUCAAGUAGGCACAGGAUUCAAAGAUGAGUGAAGCAUAGCAUCUUUCCUGCAUAAACAUUUAAAAAAGGAGAAAGUGAGAGAGAGGAGUCUUCCAUCCACUUCUAAAUAGAACAAAAUGAUAUCUCAGUGCCCUUAACUUUGAAACUGAAACAGAGCUUCUAGAUCAUCUCAAGAUUUUGCAGCUUUGGAGAAAGCAAGCUGUAGGACUCAUGGCAUAGUGAGCAGCAUUUUUGCCAUGAGCGUCUGCAUUAGGAAAAUCUGGAGACUGCCGUCUCAAAGGGCUCCUUGGGCCAUGGAUCACUGCUCAGGGGAUGGGAGGAGGCAAGUCUAGGAGGGCCUGCCUGUGAGCUCAGGUGAGAUGCCCUUGAGGCCACUAGGGAGAAGGUGGGCCAGAGUCAUUGAUGGGAUUUGAAUAGUGAAGGGGUUAAUAAGCCAAUGAAAUGUGGAUUGCUCAACUUAAUAUAAGCACAUAAGUACUGUGUGAGGAAAAACAAACUGUGGAGAAAAUAGAUUUUCCUCUGCUCUCAUCCCACAACAAUGAACACAGAAGACUUCUGUGACCAAAUGUGGGUCCUCCGCUGCACCCCACACACCAAGCAAGUGAUCAAUUCUGCAGUGGACACCAGCAUUCGGUAUCCUCCACUUCAAUCCUGACACCAUCUACCUGGAGAUAGCAUCAGAUACCGCAGGUUGGGGGCUCAGUCCCACAAGACUGCCCUCGACUUUGGAUGCCAAUCACAAGCCCCAGGUUUUUAUAUCUGUGCUUCUGACUGGCUGUAAAUAGAAGUUCCCAAAAUUCCCUUCUCCUGUUCGAUUAGUUUGCUAGAGUGGCUCACAGAACUUGUUACAGGUAGUUAGACAGGCAUGAGUGGGGCAGGAGAGGGUCCUCCCUCACCUACUAGGAAUGUUGGGUGAUGGUUUGGCAAUUAUCACAUUGCCUCUCUAAAAGUGAUAAGUUGCCAGCCGGUGCCAGGGAAAGGCCACUUCCUGAUGAUCUACACCUGUUGCACUAAAGUGUUAAUUGAAUGCAGAUGCCAGUGGGGAGCAAAUUUCUGGGCAUGCACAUUAAGAGACAAAAUGGCUGAGUAUGAUCUUCCAGGCACACUCCACCAGAAAAGGGAAGAAAAGCCUCAGAUGGGCAUGUGUACAACUUCCUAAACACACUGCAUGUGGUCAUUUUCCAAGCAUAAGGAGGGUACUGUGCAUGCAGGCAGCCCACCCUAAGGUAGAAUCAUGGGAAAGGGGCCAGCCUAUAAAGUCCUAGGAUCCAGGUUAAAGACCACACUUGUUCUUCAAGUCACAUGCUUGGGUCUCUUCCAAGCACACUUUCUUUUCUGUUCUAAAGCUUUUUAAAAUAAGCUUCCACUGCUGCUCUGAAA
ensembl:lncRNA LINC01442 long intergenic non-protein coding RNA 1442